AAGAAAUGUUUUUUUAUGUUUUUUUGUGUUUGCCAAGACUUUUUGAAGUCUCAUCUCUACGUACCAACAAAGUGCAAUGGAGGAUCAAAACCUCAUAGUUUAUGGUAAAAAUAACAAAGUUGUUUGUUUUGAUUCAUUUUUAAUAAAAAUAUAUUUUAUCAUUUUAAGGAGAAUACUCAACUAGUCACCGACAAGUAUGAGAACUUUGCAUCAUCAUGAGAAGGACUCCAACUUGGAUUAGGAUCAACAAGUAUACCACUAGCUCUUUUAGAUG
rnacentral:lncRNA from 1 species